CUUGGGGGGGGGGACAGGGUCCCUCAGCCUGGAUUGCAAGAGGGCACAAGCCAGGUUGAGGGACCCCACCGGUGCACA
rnacentral:pre_miRNA from 1 species